rnacentral:rRNA from 1 species
UAUAAUAUAGGUGAUAUAUUGAAAAAUGGUAUAUGUAAUUAAUAUUAUUUUAAGGAUUACGAAUCAAAAUUUAAAAAAUGAUAAAAAGAUAAAACUGUUUAAUAACAGUAAUCAAUCAUAAUCAUGAAAAUGAUAAAAAUUUAAACAAGUGGAAUGAAACAUCUGAGUAACUUGUAAAAUAACCAACAGGGAUAAUAUUAGUAACGGUGAGUGAAAGUAUUAAAAUCUUAAAGUAUUACCAAGAGGUAAGAAUAAAGUAGUUUCCAACUACUAAGAAAAAAGAAUAAAUUUUAGAUUAAAGUACCGCAAGGGAAAGUAAAAAAAUAGAAUAAUAAAGAGCAGUUAUAGUAUAACGUACCUUUUGUAUAAUGGGCCAGUGAGUUAUAUAUUUUAGUGAAAAAUAAAUUUUUAUAUAUAAAUAGAUAUAAAUGGGGAGUAUUAAUCUCCUCAGAAAAAUUAUCCCCCGGAGGGGGAUGAUUAAUCCACCCGUAGGGUGGAAAAAUUAAAGUAUAUAGGCCCGAAAGCAAACGAUCUACACAUGUCCAAGUGUAUAUAGAACCUUAUAUAAGGUUUAUAUAUGACUCAAUAGGUAAUUGUAGCAAUAAUUUCUAAAGAGAUGUGUGUAGCUGUGACAGACAAAUCUGGUUUGCAGAUAGCUGGUUUUCUGCGAAAUAUAUUUUAGUAUAGCCUUUAUAUAUGUUUAUACUGGUACAGCACUUAAAUACCUUUGGGGAAUUAGAAUAUAAUUUUAUCAAAAUAUUUAAACCUCGGAAUCAGUUUAUAAUAUAACCCAAAAUAAAUAUAUAAAAUAAACACGUUUAUUUUAGUUAUAAGGGUAGAGAUAUAAGGAGUCAGACUUAUUGCGAUAAGGUAGUAGGUCGAGAAGGAAACAACCUAGACUAUUAAAUGAAUGUCCCAAAUAUUAAUUAAGUGAACAAAAUCUAUCCUACUUUUAUUUUUUAUAAAAGUUAAAAUCUAAAUUUAGAUUUUACAUUAUUAUAACUAAUGUUAUAUAGUUAUAAUAUACGGGGAAUUAAAUUAUAGACAAUUAGUAAGUGGGUUUGACAAUAAUCAACUUUUAAUGAACAUGUAACAAUGCACUAAUUUUAUUUAUAUAUAUAUCUCCAUAUAUAUAUUUAUUAAUAAUAGAGAAAAUAUAUCGGGUCUAAAUUAAUAACAGUAUUAUAGAUAUAAUCUUGUAUGAUUAUAUGGUAGCAGAAUAUAUAAUGAAUAAUUAUAAAGAGAUUGCUGGCUUGAGUAACGAUAGAUAAUAUAAGAUUAUCCCCUUAUUCAUAAGGUUUUACUAUAAACGAACGGUCCCUAAGAUUAAUAUAGAAAUAUAAAAUUAAUGGGUGAAAGAACAAGAAAAUAAAAAUGAACCGUACUGUAGACCGACACAGGUAUGAUAAAAAGGGAAUGGGAUAACUACUUUGAAUGAACUCGGCAAAAUAAAUCGUGCGACUGUUUACCAAAAACAUAGCUUAUUGCAUACUAGUAAUAGUAAGUAUAAUAAGUGAUAUCUGCCCGGUGUUUGUUCAAUAAAUAUUAUUAUUUAAUAGAUAAUUUUAUAAAAAACAGAUAAACGGCGGUCUUAUUGUGAGGAUCCGAAGGUAGCGAAAUUCAUUGACGUAUAAUUGACGUCCUGCAUGAAUGAAUAUACGAUGCGAUAACUGUAUCCAAAGUAGACUCAGUGAAAUAGCAAUUGCGGUGAAGAUGCCGUAUAUCCGUAGGUUGACAAAAAGACCCUAUGCAGCUUUACUAUAUCUUUAUUUUGAUUAUUAAUCUUAGCAAUGCUAAGAUUAGCCUUUUUUUAUUUAUUUCAGUAGAUUAGGUUAUAUUUAUAUUUUAAAUCAAAUGAGAUACCUAUAUAAAUGAAAAAAGAAUCUAAUUAAUAUAGUCAAUAUAUACUCUACAAAUAUAAAAAACACUUUUUAUAUCCCCGCCCGCAACUUGUUGCGGGCGAGAGAGUUUUAGUUAUACUAAUGACUUAAGUUUUACUUAUUUAAGAAAGAGUAAAGAGGUUAGUUUCGAUGGGGCGUCGACAUCAGCGAAAGCAUCUGAUGUGUCUAAUAACAAUGAUCUUGAUUUAUCAAGACUUAAUGUUUAAUUAAAUUUUUUAUUUAAUAGUAAAUUACGUACAAUAUUUCUAUAUGGUAAAUAGAAUUAAACAGAAAAUUAAGGAGGGCGUAGCCCUCAUGAUUCUGUAAGUUUAUAAGUAAGGAUAACAACAUAAUUGUGCGAUGAUAAUAACACUAACAAGUGGAAUUAGUACUUACGUAGAGUGUAGUGAACAGGCAUAAACAAAUGGUAUGGAUGUCGAUAACGGAUUAAAGUUACGCUAGGGAUUAAAUGUUAGUUCCUUUAUAUAGAAAGCUCAUAAAUUUAUCCCCCCCUCAAGGGGGGAUAUAUCAUACCCUUCCGGGUAUAAUUUAUAUGAGCUGAAUAUAUAUUAUCUCCGCGAUAGUGAGAUAACCUUCUAAAGAAGGUAUAUUAAUUGGGUGAAUUGCAUAGAAAUCUUUUUAGUAAAAGAUAAUAUGCAGCGAAGCAUAUAUUAGUUUUUAUAGAUAUAUGAACGUUCAACGACUAGUAAUUGAGUAAACUAACAAUAAUAUUACCACGAGCGCCCAAUACCUAAUAAUAUCUUUAAUAGAUAUUCUUAAAUAAAUAUAAAAAUAUAUAUAUAUAUUCUCCCUAAAAAGGAGAAUAUAAAUCAAAUUACCUUAUAACAGAAGGUUUAUAAUAAAAAAUAAAAUAUGAACAAAGAGAUGAAAAAAUGAAUAAUGAAAAAGAUUUAAUUAAUAUUUCUCCUAAUAGUAAUUUAUUAAAAUCUUAUAAACAACAAUUUCCUAAUAUUUCACAAUAUCAAAAAAAAGUAUUAAUAGGUAUAAUAUUAGGAGAUGGAUAUAUUUAUACAAGGUAUAAUGGAAAAACUUAUGGGUUAAAAUUCGAAUGAAGUUAUAAAUCAAAAGAAUAUAUAGAUUUAAUAUUUAUUUAAGAAUUUUAUUAGGUAAAGACAUAGUCUAAACUAUAUAGUGAUAUAUAGAAGUUGUCAAAUUAAAAAAAACAACGAUAAUAAAAUUGAACAGGGUAAUACCGCGUGAGAGUUGAUAUCGUCAGCGGUGUUUGCCACCUCGAUUAAUAACGAUAGUCGAGUAUAAAUAGGUUUAAUUGCAAGAAAUCUAAAGAUUAAUAUCAAUGAUGAUUUGCAGCGAAUUAUUAUCUAUAUGAAUAAUAAUUUAUAGUUAAAAUAUAUAUGGAGAUAUAUAUCAUAGGGGUAAACCCCUAAAUAUAUAUGGAGAUAUAUAUAUCUCCCCCUUGGGGGGGAAAUAUAUAUUAUUAUAAGGAUAAUAAACGUUCAACGACUAGUAGGUGAGUACAUAUAACAAUACCCUACCAAGAAAUACCUAGGAAUAUUUACUGUAAUGCGGUAUGAUAUUAUUUUAUUUAUAUUGAAAAAUGGGAGAUGGUACUUUACAUAAAAGAGAUAAAAUAUAUAGUUUACAUACAGAAGGUUUUACCUUUGAUGAAUGUAAUAUUUUAUCAAAUGAGUUAAAUAUUAAAUUUAACUUAAAUAGUAGUGUUAGAAUAUCUAGAAAAACUAACACUAAGAUAUUAUACAAAAUAGUUUUUACAACUAAUGAUACUAAAUUAAUAACCCCCGCUUCGCGGGGGUGAUAAACCCCCUCCGGGGGGUUAAUAAGUAAAUUAAUUAAACCAUACAUUAUAAAAUCUUUUCAAUAUAAAAUUAUAUAGUCCAUAAUAUACUAUGGUCUAAUAUAUAAAUAUAUCUAUCAGUAUAACUAAAAAUAUUUUAAGACAUAGUCUGAACAAUAAUGAAAAUUAUUGAAAUUAAAUUUAAAUAAUUUAAUAAUAACAAAUUGGUCGUCUAGACUCGUCCUCCUGGUCGCAGCAACUAGGUAGGGUAGGACUGUUCGUCCUCUAAGGAGUUACUUGAGAUGGGUUAAUUACGACGUGAGUCAGUAAUGAUUUUAUCAUCUAUGGAUUUUUUUCUUAUCUGUUGCCUUAAGUGUACGCAAGGAUAAUAAGGUACAUUCCUAUGGUUAAAAAUUUAUAUUUUAGCUAAGAAUGUUGUGUUUACAUAUUGAAUGCAUAUCAAAUAUUAAAUCCUUCAGAUAAGUUUAUACAUUAUAGACUAUAAUGUAUUAGUUAAUUUGUGAUAUUCACAAAUAUACUAAUUAAAUAAUAUAUAUAUAUUAUAUAUAUAACUCAUUUUAUAAUGAGAAUAAACAUAUACCU